rnacentral:rRNA from 1 species
UCUCCUACGGGAGGCAGCAGUGAGGAAUAUUGGUCAAUGGGCGCGAGCCUGAACCAGCCAAGUAGCGUGAAGGAUGACUGCCCUACGGGUUGUAAACUUCUUUUAUAAAGGAAUAAAGUGAGGCACGUGUGCCCUUUUGUAUGUAUUUUAUGAAUAAGGAUCGGCUAACUCCGUGCCAGCAGCCGCGGUAAUACGGAGGAUGCGAGCGUUAUCCGGAUUUAUUGGGUUUAAAGGGUGCGCAGGCGGUCUGCUAAGUCAGCGGUCAAAGCCCGGGGCUCAACCCCGGCCCGCCGUUGAAACUGGCA